CAUUCCAUGGCCAAAUAGGAGAUAGACAAUGUCGUCGUUUUUUGGCGCCGCCCUGUGGAGAAAUUUUCCAAAGAGAAUUAUCCUUUGCCAAAUAACUCCCGCCCACAUUAAUAAUUCUUGGCCAUAUUUUCUAUAUAGACUCGGGUUUGCCCCUUGAUGGUUUCCCUUGAGUUUGAAGAACAUUCCUUUGGCCAAUUAGAAGAUAUACAAUUUCCUCGUUUAUAGCGCCCCCUUAUGGCGUAAUUUUCCGAAUUUUUAUUCGAACGUCGUUAAGGGUGGCGCUAACAUGUGUGUUAAAUUUGGACUCGAUCCGAUGUGUAAUUUUGGUUUUUUUUGGAUUUUGGAUUUUUCACGUCUAAUUUAGCUAAUAAACAAAUAUUAAAAACGAUACCGUUUCGUCGUCAAAGGUCGCAUCAAAAAAGUGUUUCAUGCAUUCUUUGCGUGUGCGUCUGAAGAUGUCGUGUGCAAGACAAGAAAUGUGCGUUUCGCCGGCACAACGCGAACAAGAAAUGUGCGUUUCGCCGGCACAACGCGAAGCAAGUAUUCAAAACGCUACCCUGAACCUGUGGAUAUAAAGGUUUUGACUGUGGGAGCUUCGGUGUGGGAGUUAUAGCCUAAAACUCGUUUUCAGAACAUUCCAUUGGCCAAAUAGGAGAUAGACAAUGUCGUCGUUUUUUGGCGCCGCCCUGUGGCGACAUUUUCCAAAGACAAUUUUCCUUUGCCAAAUAACUCCCGCCCACAUUAAUAAUUCUUGGCCAUAUUUUCUAUAUAGACUCGGGUUUGCCCCUUGAUGGUUCCCUUAUAGUUUGAAGAACAUUCCUCUGGCCAAUUAGAAGAUAUACAAUUUCCUCGUUUAUUGCGCCCCCUGAGGGCGUAAUUUUCCGAAUUUUUUAUCGAACGCCGUUAAGGUUAGCACCAACAUGUGUGUAAAAUUUGGACUCGUUCCGAUGUCUAAUUUUGGAUUUCUUUGGAUUAUUGAUUUUCCACGUCUAAUUUAGCUCAUAAACCAAUAUUCAAAAUGCUACCGUUUCGUCGUCAAAGGUCGCAUCAAAAAAGUGUUUCGUGCAUU
rnacentral:lncRNA from 1 species